CGCGGGUGCUUACUGACCCUUUUGGGUUGGAGUUAGCUCAAGCGGU
rnacentral:precursor_RNA from 1 species